GUGGACCUACGGGAGGCAGCAGUGGGGAAUAUUGGGCAAUGGGCGCAAGCCUGACCCAGCAACGCCGCGUGAAGGAAGAAGGCUUUCGGGUUGUAAACUUCUUUUCUCAGGGACGAAGCAAGUGACGGUACCUGAAGAAUAAGCCACGGCUAACUACGUGCCAGCAGCCGCGGUAAUACGUAGGUGGCAAGCGUUAUCCGGAUUUACUGGGUGUAAAGGGCGUGUAGGCGGGGACG
rnacentral:rRNA from 1 species